rnacentral:siRNA from 1 species
GAGUGUGAGCAUGCCUGUCGGGA